UACAGGGGGGGUAAGCGUUGUUCGGAAUUACUGGGCGUAAAGGGUCUGUAGGUGGCUUGCUAAGUCAGACGUGAAAUCCCUCAGCUUAACUGGGGAACUGCGUCUGAUACUGAUGAGCUUGAGUGCAGGAGAGGAACGCGGAAUUCCAGGUGUAGCGGUGAAAUGCGUAGAUAUCUGGAGGAACACCGGUGGCGAAGGCGGCGUUCUGGACUGCAACUGACACUGAGAGACGAAAGCCAGGGGAGCAAACGGG
rnacentral:rRNA from 1 species